GAUAAAAUGAAUUUGAAUUGCUAUUGGAAAAAAUCAGGAAUUGUAUGAGAUUUGCAAGAGCUAGUUUCUUAAACGGAAAUUGAGUCCUAUUUUGUGGGAAAUUAGUUUUGCAGACUUUCUAAAAAAAAAAAUCUAAAACUUUUGUUCAGCAGCUGCUCCACUUUUCCCUGCAGUUUCAGACUGAGCUGGAACCUGCAGCAGUCUUUCGACGAGAUCAUAUAAAAUUGACCCGAAUGAACCAGCGCACAAUUUCUCCGCUUCAGGACUUUUGUAGUCGGUAUUUCACUUUGGACGCUAAAAGCACCAUCUUCCUGACUAUUUAUCAGAAUUUUCCAAGCUCAAGAAAUAUUCUAAAUAGAGGAGAAAGCUUAACAUAUGCCAAACAUUGGCAGAAGAAACUACGAGGAAGCAGAGAAAAGACCAAAUGAUGUAAAUGAUAAAAGCUUUCUGGAAAAGAAUGUUGAAGUGGCUGCCUACUUGAAGAAAUAUUCAAUUUUAACACUAUCCUUUUUUUCUGAAGUCAUAAAAUGUCUGUAUGCAGAGCAGCUUGCAGAAGCCACAGUUUGCACAAAGAACACAAAUGAAGGCAGGAGAAGAAGAUACCAGGCUGGCAGUGAUCCCAAGCUCCUCACACGCUGAUGUUCAGGACAGCACAUGUGGGUGCCACAUGAGCAGGUGAAACUGUGAUCCUACAUGUGUGGAAGGGAGGAUAGUAAUUAAACAAUCAGAUGUGCUAAGUGUAUCAUGCUGGGACAUCGCUACAUUUCAGACAGGUUGUGAGGUUUGAAACCUAAGGUGAUAACUCAGGAAGCAGCCAAGUUAAAGCUGUAAUCGUAAGUUUUUCCUCACAGUCUCUGGAGUGCCACAGCACCAGUCCUGUCCUGAUACACUCCCCAGUGGCGUUUCAGUGGCGUUUCAGCCUAAGGAAACCAUUAGUCAUCCUUCAGCCAUUAAGACAGUAAGAUUUUUGUUCUGGAUACUCUCCUGAAUGGCUUUACAAACUGUGGCCCUUCCCAGAGACAUUCCCUGCCACCGCCCAUUCCUGAGGUUGGUGACUUGCCCCUUGCAACAAGGUGAGCCUAGAAGGCCAGGGCCUGGGCCUGGAGGGCUUGGCACUCUGCCCUCUGCUGGCUGCCUGCCAGGCCAGCCCUGCAGUACCGCAACUCCCAACGGCAUUGGAUGUAGGGGAUAACGGCAAUGGAAGGGCUCAAGGUGAGGAGUUAUUUCCUUCUAAUUUUAAUUGUGGCUACUAAACUCCAAAUAUAAUGAAAAGAGAUGUAAUGAAUCACAAGUAGUUAAAAUCUGCCUUUGCUUUACAAGCAGUUAGUUGAAAGAUUUUGUUCCACUCCAGUAUGGCCUUCUACAUCCUGAUUUGUCCUUCCAUUUUAACUGAUAAUAUUUACCUAGCAGGUUUUUAAAAUGAAAUACAAUUACAUUAAAAAAACAAUCAUUAGUAGUAUUUCUUUUGAGGUAGAGGCUAUACUAUCAGGAGAACAUGGGUUUAGACUUUGCACUGCAACUGAACUAUUAACCUGAACUUCACGGACAUGCUACACCAAAUAGCCAUACAUUUGUUCAGCUGGUUCUGGCCUUUUUUAAAGCAAAACCCAGGGAAAUUUCUCAAGAAGAGAUACAGCAGAGGGUCACAGAGGGCACCUGCCCCUCCGCUCCCAGCCCUGACCUGAGGAGCACCAUGGGGCCCCAUUGUUUCUCCUGUCCAACACUACAUGCUUGCAGGGUGUUUAGCACCACUGCCCUGAUCUCUUGCAUUGCUUCUGAGAACUGCAGUCUCACAAGCAAUAAAUGCCCAUCAGUGAAUAUUUCACUCCACUGUCUCCUGCUGAAUACAAAGCAGCUUGUAGCUUUGCCUCUCAUGAUAGAAACCCUGCGUAGCAGGAGCCCAAGAUAUUUCACAGACCACCUGCCUUUUCUUAACCAUGUGUAGAAUUGCCUACCAGGAAUCUUGAUGUGUUUUAUAUGUUCUUAAUAAAGUUAACAUUUCUAUUAAAUACUGCUCUCUUCUGGGAUUCUCAUCGAACCUUAAGCAUAAUAAUCAAGAAAAAAAACUUUCUGUCACAUUAUUAAAUGUUCAAUUGCUACAAUAUAGAAGACUUUGGUAGCAUAAUGCCACACUGGCAUCUUUCCAGUGUGGGAAAUUUUUUCCACAGAUUUUUUUUUUUUUUCAAGUCAAUUUAUUGCAAAACAGUUGCUUUCUGUAAUAUCACAGAUUUAUCCAGAGUUUACAAUGCAAUCAUUGCUCCUUGCUAUUGGAAAUGAUUUAUUUAGCCAGUUUUGGCCUUCAUUCCAAAAGGCUGACUGCCAAAUCAUUACACUGUAUCUGGUGUUCUGUUGUCAGAAAAUAUGAUCUAGCAUUAAGAUACUACUCAGAGACUCUAAAAGCCAGAGAAAAUAAUUGUGGUAAAUCAAAACCUCAUAAAUACUUUAUAUAGUUGUUUUUAAUGUCUGUCCUUAUGUGUGACAAAAAAGUACCAGUUUACAUGCAAUGAGAAUACAUGCGUUUGGAGGCUUCAUUUCCUAUAUCGUCUAAGUUUUUAAACAACAUUAAAGUCUUUCCCAUAUAAGCGCAAAAGUCAGGCAGUUGUUGUCACAUUAUAUUUUCUGGUACUACCACAUUUUAAUAAGCCAGAAGUCAGCAAACUGCUUUUCUAGACUUAACACUAAACAACAUUUUUU